rnacentral:rRNA from 1 species
AUUGAACGCUGGCGGCAUGCUUUACACAUGCAAGUCGGACGAGUGGCGAACGGGUGAGUAAUAUAUUGGAAAGUACCGAGUAGUGGGGGAUAACCAAUCGAAAGAUUGGCUAAUACCGCAUAUUAUUCAGGCGGCCAGUAUCUGAUUAGCUAGGUGGUGGGGUAACGGCCUACAAGGGCGACGAUCAGUAGCGGGUCUGAGAGGAUGAUGCGCCACACUGGAACUGAGACACGACCCAGACUCCUACGGGAGGCAGCAGUGGGAAAUUUUGGACAAUGGGCGCAAGCCUGAUCCAGCCAUGCCGCGUGUCUGAAGAAGGCCUUCGGGUUGUAAAGGACUUUUGUUAGGGAAGCGGUACCUAAAGAAUAAGCACCGGCUAACUACGUGCCAGCAGCCGCGGUAAUUC